CCCUAGACACCCAUCUGGGUUCUGAUGUGGCCAGAGAGAGUGAAGAUUACAUUCGAAGAAGGCUAGAGCUAGAUUUUAAUUCUGAUUCUUGUACUUACUGGUUGUGUGACCUUUGGAAAAUCAUAUAACUCCUCUAAGUCUCAAUAGUCGUCAAAUCUGAAAAAUGGGAUUAGUGCCUACAUAGUAUGGUUGUGGUGACGAUGACCUGAGGCAACAUAUAUGAAGUGCACAGCAUAACGUCCAACUCAAAAUAACUGAUAGAGAAGUUAACCAAUGACACUAAUUCUGUUUACAUAAAAAUUCCUAAGUGAAAGUGCCGGUUGUGCCUCUCGUUGACCUUCAACCAGAGACACCUGUUUUUUAUUUGCGUAGUUCCUGUUCCCAAAUCGGUUAGCGCAAGGCAAAACCAAGCACCUCACCCUAACAACUGCAUCUUGGGUGUGUUGGUUAUAUAAUCACAUUGCCUUGUCACGUUGGCAUCUUUAAUCAUUUUAAAGGUAGUUUUGACUUGACCAUAUUCUUAUUUAACUACCUUAAGCAAAUUGAUUAGCUUCGUGAAGCCCCUGAUGCCAUUAAUUCAUGGUCUAUAAAACCUCAGACCUAAUUGAACUUUUUAAUAUUGUAUCUUUACUACCUGAUAUAAGUGUCUUUUAAAUUAUAAGAAUUGCUAUAGUUAAUGCCUUAUUAAAUAGCUACGUAUAUAUUGAAGUAUAAAAAAUUUCCAAUUGCAGAGUAAUCAAAACCCAGAUUAAAACAAAGACGGUUUUAUUUCUCUUUUAUUAUAACUUAAAGAUACCAAGAACUUUGUGUAGCAAUAUUUCGAGCUUGCAAAGAAUGUGUAGUCCUGGGGCAGUAUCUCAUAUCUGAAAGUUAACCAGUACAUAUUCACUGACUGAAACAAAUGAACAAAGAAACAUGAUCUUCAAAACUGCAAGAUGGCACUACGAUUUCAUACCCAGUAGGAUGGCUGUGAUUGAAAAGAGAGAUAAUCACAAGUGUUGGUGAAGAUGUUGAGACAUGGGAACCCUCUUCUGUAGCUGGUAGGGAUGCAAAGUUGUGUGGUCCCUUCAGAAAACUGUCUGGCAGUAAGUAUUCAGCAGUCCCAUCCCCAGGUACAUACCCAAGAGAAAUAAAAACAUACGUUAACAUAAAAGCAUUCAUACAAAAGUUUGUAGCAACAUUAUUCUUAAUAGCCCAAAGUAGAAAUAGCUCAAAUCUUCAUCAAGCCAUGAAUGGAUGAAUAAAAUGUAAUAUAUCCAUAGAAUAGACUAUCACUUGGCAAUGAAAAGGAAUCGGGUAUGGAUACAUUGUAAGCACAGAUGAACUUAGAAAAUAUUAAGUGAAGAAAGCCCAUCACAGAAGACCACAUAGAGUGAGAUGUCAUGUAUAUGAAAUUUCUAGAAUAAGCAAACGUUUAGAGACAGAAAGUAGAUUAAUAUAUGCGUAGGACUGUGAGAGAAGGGAGACUGAAGAGAGCCUGUCAACUGGCAGGCAUGAAGUUUCUUUUUGGAGUAAAUGUUCCAAAACUCUCUAAGUGUACAAAAACCCACUUAACCGUAUACUUUACCUGGACAAAAUGUACAGUAUGCGAAUGAUAUCUCAAUAAAGUUGCUGUAGAAUAUUUUUAACCAAAUUACAAAAAAAAUAUUCUUAAAAAGAAGUAUUUGCAAGCCAACUGAAGAGGCCACAGGUGUGAUAACUCGAGUGCCAAUAUGAAUAAUAGAUGCAAUAAAUUAAAAUAUAUUACAUGUACUAAUGCUCAUGAAUUCAUAAUGAUACUUUGAAAUUCAUUAGUUUGUUUUAGAGAAUAUUAAGGAGCCAGUUUGUUAUUCUAAAAACAGGUAAAUAAAGGGAAAAAUUAAACACUUAACCUGCCUUUUUUGUUCAAAUUGCAUCUUAAGAGUAGCCCAGUCAUUAAGAAAUGCUUCUCUCUGUAGACAUAUCUAUCUAAUAAAAAAAGCAACUAUGGAAUUAUAAUAUUAACAGUCUGUAUGCUCUAACAAAAUAAUAAAUAUAGCAUUGAUCAUCAAUAACCGCCAAUAUAUUAAAAAGACAUAACACUAUUAAUUAGGUACAUCCCCAUGGAAGUACAUAGUAGCCCCUAUAGGGCUUUGUUACCAGAACAAAUUAAACCUCUGAACAGAGGAAUACAUUCAAUGUCAUGAUCAAAAGCAAACAGCAAAGAUCUUGAGUGUGGGGAUGCUACUGUAUAAAAAACUAAAUUUUAUUAAUUGCAAGGAGGAAAAGUGAAGGAGAAAAUCUUGAUUUUUUUUUUCUGUUUUUGGCUGCCCCAUGGCAUAUGGAGUUGAUCCGAGCCACCGUUGCUCUACCUAUGCCACUGUGGCAAUGAAUGCUGGAUCCUCUAAGCCACUGUGCAGGGCCAGGGAUCAACCCUGCAUCCUGGGGCUGCAGAGAUGCUGCUCAUUCCGUCACACCCCAGUGGGAAAUGCAGAAAUUCUUGAUUUAAAGAGAAUUAGAAGACAUAUCAAAAUGUCUUAUGUGGCCUUGCUUGGAUUUCAGUUAAAUUAAAAAAAUGUAAAUUUGACUAUCAGAGAAAUUUCAACCUGGGUAUUUUAUGGCAUUAAGGAGUUACUGUUAAUCUUUGGCAUGAUAGUGGUAUUAUGACUGUGUUUAAUAAGAGUUCUUAUCUUUCAGAGAUAGGUAUGAAAGUAUUUAUGGAUAAAAUUAUAUGAUGUCUGGGAUUUGCAUUAAAAUAAGCUAGUAAUAAGGUUAAUUCAGUGGGAAUGUAGAUAAUGCAAGAAUGACCAUGAUUUGAUAAUUGUAGGUGGGUGAUGGGUACAAAAGAGUUCAUUAUACCAUUCUCUUUACCUUGAAUAUGUUUGGAAUUUUCCACAGUGCAAGUUAAAAAUACAUGCAUUUAAACCACUAUUAUCAUCAUGCAAGAGUGUGUACAAGCAAAAGAUACACAUUAAACUUGACAUUAGAAAAAUUGCUUGUUGGGAGUUCCCGUCGUGGCUCAGUGGUUAACGAAUCUGACUAGGAACCAUGAGGUUGCAGGUUCAAUCCCUGGCUUUGCUCAGUGGGUUAAGGAUCCAGCAUUGCUGUGAGCUGUGGUGUAGCUCGCAGACACGGCUUGGACCUGCGUUGCUGUGGCUCUGGCGUAGGCUGGUGGCAACAGUUCCGAUUAGACCCCUAGCCUGGGAACCUC
rnacentral:lncRNA from 1 species